AAUCAACGCUGGCGGCGUGCCUAACACAUGCAAGUCGAACGCGAAAGCCCCUUCGGGGGUAAGUAGAGUGGCGUCCGGGUGAGUAACACGUAGGUAAUCUACCUUCGGGUGGGGAAUAACUCGCCGAAAGGCGAGCUAAUACCGCAUAAUGCAGCGGCACCUAAUGGUGAUUAGUUGUUAAAGCGGGGGAGUCGUAAGACCUCGCGCCUGAAGAGGAGCCUGCGGCAGAUUAGCUAGNGGUUGAGGUAAUGGCUCACCAAGGCUUCGACGGGUAGCUGGUCUGAGAGGACGAUCAGCCACACUGGCACU
rnacentral:rRNA from 1 species